GGCGUAGGCGGCCUGUCAAGUCGGAUGUGAAAUCUCCCGGCUCAACUGGGAGGGUGCAUUCGAAACUGAUGGGCUGGAGUGCAGCAGAGGAAAGCGGAAUUCCCGGUGUAGUGGUGAAAUGCGUAGAUAUCGGGAAGAACACUAGUGGCGAAGGCGGCUUUCUGGGCUGUAACUGACGCUGAGGUCCGAAGGCGUGGGGAGCAAACAGGAUUAGAUACCCUGGUAGUCCACGCAGUAAACGAUGGAUACUAGGUAUAGGGAGUAUCGACCCUCUCUGUGCCGAAGCUAACGCUUUAAGUAUCCCGCCUGGGGACUACGGUCGCAAGACUAAA
rnacentral:rRNA from 1 species